GGGGGGGGGGGGGGGGGGGGGGGGGGGGGGGGGGGGGGGGGGGGGGACGGGGGGCUGGCUGCGCUGAUGGUAGCGGCGGACGGGGGAGUGACCCGUGGAUGACCGACCUAUAAGACUGGGCUCACUUCGGGGAACCGGACCCAAUACCGGAGAAUAUUUUGAACCGCAUGGUUCACAAGUGAAAAACUGUCUUGCUGUCACGUAUAGAUAGAUCCGCCCUGCAUUAGCUAGUUGGUAAGGUAACGGCUUCCCAAGGCAACGAUGCAUAGCCGACCUGAGAGGGUGAUCGGCCACACUGGAACUGAGACACGGUCCAGACUCCUACGGGAGGCAGCAGUAGGGAAUCUUCCGCAAUGGGCGAAAGCCUGACGGAGCAACGCCGCGUGAGUGAUGAAGGCCUUCGGAUCGUAAAACUCUGUUAUUAGGGAAGAACAUAUGUGUAAGUAACUGUGCACAUCUUGACGGUACCUAAUCAGAAAGCCACGGCUAACUACGUG
rnacentral:rRNA from 1 species